CUAGUGGACCGCGCCCCCUGCCGGCUCGGCGCCUGACCUGGCCGCGACCCUAGACGCUCCCAGAGCCUCAGGGGCAGGGCACACACAGAGCACAGCUGAGAGGAGGGGGGCUUGCCAGUGGCGGAGACUCCGGGGUUCUGGAAUGGACUAGCAAGAUUUCGCAAUAGGGGCAAGGCUCAGAAAGACUGAUUUGACAAUUGGGAUUUAGAGAGGGGAGUUAUCUGAAGUUUCAGAAUUUGCGUGCCUAUUUGGAAAUUUAGGAAUAACCAAAAUUAGGAGGAAGAAUAACCUUUUCGUCCCCCCCCCCAGUAAUCCAAUUAUGCCUUAUAAGGUUACAACCUGAAAGUUUGCCUUGCUGCCCUCGAAGCCUACGUUCACCCCUUGUAAACGUGAGAAUUUACUGCCAGGGAGCACACUAAUGCUUCAUGAAUGUUAAUCGCUUUACAGUUUACAAAGCAUGGCCACAUCCUGAUCUUUGAUCCUCACACCUACCCUUGAGUUAGAUGAGGAAGGUAACACCGAUUUUCUACUUGGUGAAAUGAGAAAAUUAAGAUUCACAGGGGGUCUCAUUUGCCCAAAGUCACAUCAAAGGUGGUAAGCAGUAGUGUCCUGGACUCACUGGACUGGGGCUCAGCGUGAAUUUUUCUAGGCUGGGGUCAUCAUGCCAUCAAAGGGGGUUGGAGAGUCCUAGCUCCCGCCCAAGGAUUUUGCCUGUUCAUGAUGAAUCACCCCCAAGCCUGUUUUGUCACCCGUUUAUGCUCUUCCAUCACUGCUUCUUGACUUCACUUUCUCAUUUAGCUUCUGGGGUGGAAUGGGGGAGGGGUUGCACUCCGCCUCCUGGGCUCCCUACUUCUUGCAGGAGGGCUUCUCAUGUCCUAUCACCCACUACUCUGGAUGUAGGUCCAUGAAGCCCAGGGCCUAAACUGAGAAGCAGAGAGAGCAGGUCCACUGGAACUCUGGACCAGCUUCUAAAUCUCAUCCUGUGUACAUGGGCAAAUCACAUCUCUUCUAUAAUUUCACUGUGUACAUGGGCAAAUCACAUCUCUUUUAUAAUUUCCUCAUUUACAACCUGCCCCUGGUAGAUCUCUAAGCUUCCUACCUGCUCUGCCAUACCGGUUCUGAGAAUCCGUGCACAGGCGGCUGGCGCUGAAGCCUGCGGACCUUGCCUGGCCUGGGCAGUGUACUGCUGGCUCAGCCACCUUUCCACUCCAGGACUGACUGGUGGACAUUGCACCCGGGGAAGGAACGGCUGCGCCGAAGUUAUUUAUUCUGAGGACCCUUCCCCCAGGAAGUCACCUGAGCAGUCCUGAGCUCCAGCUGAGGGCGGGGGACAGAUUCCGGGUUCGGGCUCGGGAUCCGGACUCCGCGGGUCGGAAAGGUGCAGCGCAGCGCACUGGCUGGGUUCCAGCCACCCCGCUGACCAAAGGGCAGUCGCCACAGCAGACCGGGUCUGCGGCUCGUCGGCCCGCACUGCGGACAGCAGUUCGUCCCUUGAGAUUCAGACUCUUCGCAGCGACCCUGUCUGGGACCGAUCAGUCAGUCCUGAGGAUGCGACCAGCUGGGUCCACGCCAAGACAGGUUUUUACUUUCAUUUCCCCGGCGCGCUCUUUCGACUGCCGGGGAGGUCAAGGACAGCUGGGCGCCGGUCCGCAGCCAGGGAAGGUCCCGUGGUCUGGACUCGUUCCUUCCAGUUCCCACCAGCCCUGGAGUGUUCGACCUGCAGAGGACUCUUCAGCUGUACCUCGUGGCUUCCUCGCUGUGUCUUCCAGGGGAGCCCUGAUUCCAUGGGGGAGGAGGGAUCGAGGCGAUCGGGGUAGGGAUGGGGACUGAGCUUUCACUCCUGCAGGACCGCGAAGCGUGCUCUUGGCGGGGCAGACUUCUCUUUGAGCUGCUAGAAGCUUCAACAAGUAAACCCAACCCAGGAGUGGAGACUCUGCCGGGCUCCAGUGCCUGCGCCAGCAGCGUAGAGACCUGGCCAAGAAUUCCCACCUGAGAGCCUUGCUACGCGCUUAUCAGCCCAGGUGCGCCUUGUAGUUCUGGCACUUAGAGGUCUGAUGCUUGAGAACUCCGUAAAUCCUUUCUUUAAGCAAAGCCCUGGGUUGGCAGCUGGGGAUUUGGCUAGAACAGCCACACCUCGGAAAAUGUGUGUGUGUGUGUGUGUGUGUGUGUGUGUAUACACACGCGCGCGCCCACGUGCGUCCGCGACAAGGGCCAGAGGGUACCCCAAAGUGUGGUGGAGUAUAAGUUGAAAAAAAGAUAUAAAGUUUGCCAAAUGUUGGCAUCUGUUUUUUCCCCGUGGUACCUCGUGUUUGUUUACUUACUGGUUAAAGGGGAAAAUAAAUGACUAGGAUGCUUUCUCGGCUAAACAUCGGAUCUGGAAGGAAACAACAUAGCUGGCGUUCUGUUUCUGGUGAUUUGUUAACGUGGGGUUUCAUCCAUCCAAGUUGCAGUGAUUGUACAUACACAUUAAGUACAAGGAAGGAAGGACGGAAGUGAAGGAAGAAACAUCUUCAAAAUCUCACUGGCAAGAGAAGGGAAAGAAAAAAAAAAUUCUGGUUACUGAAGAUCCACUUUUUUUGUUUGCACCCAAGUGUUUUCAAAGGGUAAGAUUGUAAAUAAACCCCCAAAGUACUGUAAUAAAUGAUGUAUCCUGACAUCAUAUAAGUGGACAUACAAA